GUGCUCGCUUUGGCAGCACAUAUACUAAAAUUGGAACGAUAUAGAGAAGAUUAGCAUGGCCCCUGCACAAGGAUGAUAUGAAAAUACAUGAAGUAUUUCAUAUUAAA